UCUUCCGCAAUGGACGAAAGUCUGACGGGGCAACGCCGCGUGAGUGAUGAAGGUUUUCGGGUCGUAAAACUCUGUUGUUAGGGAAGAACAAGUACCGUUCGAAUAGGGCGGCACCUUGACGGUACCUAACCAGAAAGACACGGCUACCUACGUGCCAGAAGCAGCGGUAAUACGUAGGUGGCAAGGGUUGUCCGGGAUUAUUGGGCGUAAAGCGCGCGCAGGCGGUUUCUUAAGUCUGAUGUGAAAGCCCCCGGCUCAACCGGGGAGGGUCAUUGGAAACUGGGGAACUUGAGUGCAGAAGAGGAGAGUGGAAUUCCACGUGUAGCGGUGAAAUGCGUAGAGAUGUGGAGGAACACCAGUGGCGAAGGCGACUCUCUGGUCUGUAACUGACGCUGAGGCGCGAAAGCGUGGGGAGCGAACAG
rnacentral:rRNA from 1 species